GAUGAACGCUGGCGGCGUGCUUAACACAUGCAAGUCGAACGGGAAUUAUUUUAUUGAAACUUCGGUCGAUUUAAUUUAAUUCUAGUGGCGGACGGGUGAGUAACGCGUGGGUAACCUGCCUUAUACAGGGGGAUAACAGUCAGAAAUGGCUGCUAAUACCGCAUAAGCGCACAGAGCUGCAUGGCUCAGUGUGAAAAACUCCGGUGGUAUAAGAUGGACCCGCGUUGGAUUAGCUUGUUGGCAGGGUAACGGCCUACCAAGGCGACGAUCCAUAGCCGGCCUGAGAGGGUGAACGGCCACAUUGGGACUGAGACACGGCCCAGACUCCUACGGGAGGCAGCAGUGGGGAAUAUUGCACAAUGGGGGAAACCCUGAUGCAGCGACGCCGCGUGAAGGAAGAAGUAUCUCGGUAUGUAAACUUCUAUCAGCAGGGAAGAUAGUGACGGUACCUGACUAAGAGGCCCCGGCUAACUACGUG
rnacentral:rRNA from 1 species